rnacentral:rRNA from 1 species
GACGACCGCUGGCGGCGUGCCUAAUACAUGCAAGUAGGACGCAGUUGCGAACGGGUGAGUAACGCGUAGGUAACUACCUAUUAGAGGGGGAUAACUAUUGGAAACGAUAGCUAAUACCGCAUACUAGUAGAUGGACCUGCGUUGUAUUAGCUAGUAGGUAGGGUAAUGGCCUACCUAGGCAACGAUACAUAGCCGACCUGGGAGGGUGAUCGGCCAAAACGGGAAGGGGAAACGGCCAAGAAUCCGACGGUAGGCAGCAGUAGGGAAUCUUCGGCAAUGGGGGGAAACCUGACCGAGCAACGCCGCGUGAGUGAAGAAGGUUUUCGGAUCGUAAAGCUAUGUUGUUAAGGAAGCGGUACUUAACCAGAAAGGGACGGCUAACUACGUGCCAGCAGCCGCGGUAAUAC